rnacentral:rRNA from 1 species
UACGGGGGGAGCAAGCGUUGUUCGGAUUUACUGGGCGGAAAGGGCGCGUAGGCGGUAGCACAAGUCAGUUGUGAAAUCUCCGGGCUUAACUCGGAAAGGUCAACUGAUACUGUGCGACUAGAGUGCAGAAGGGGCAACUGGAAUUCUCGGUGUAGCGGUGAAAUGCGUAGAUAUCGAGAGGAACACCUGCGGCGAAGGCGGGUUGCUGGGCUGACACUGACGCUGAGGCGCGAAAGCCAGGGGAGCGAACGGG